CAUCUUCAUAAGAAAGACAUUUAAUUAUUUUUUUUAACCUUUCUGUAGCAUGACGACAGAGAUGAUGGUGUGGAUUAUUGGGCCAAAAGAGGAAGAGGUCGUGGUACUUUUCAACGUGGCAGAGGGCGCUUUAAUUUCAAAAAAUCAGGUAGCAGUCCAAAAUGGACUCAUGACAAAUACCAAGGGGAUGGGAUAGUUGAAGAUGAAGAAGAGACCAUGGAAAAUAAUGAAGAAAAGAAGGACAGACGCAAAGAAGAAAAGGAAUAGUGAGUCUGAAGUACAAUUGCAACAGAGAGCAGAACUUGCACCCACCAUUUUUUUUAAUCUGAUAUUUUUGUUUUCAAAUAAGAAUGUAAGCAUUUUACCUAAAUCUUACUGUUUGCAAGUAGUCUAUAGAAAUUUUGUUUUAAGUCUUCAGAUACCUUGAAAAA